GACAGAGGAUGCAAGCGUUAUCCGGAAUGAUUGGGCGUAAAGCGUCUGUAGGUGGCUUUUCAAGUCCGCCGUCAAAUCCCAGGGCUCAACCCUGGACAGGCGGUGGAAACUACCAAGCUGGAGUACGGUAGGGGCAGAGGGAAUUCCCGGUGUAGCGGUGAAAUGCGCAGAUAUCGGGAGGAACACCGGUGGCGAAGGCGGUUCUCUGGGCCUGUACUGACGCUGAGGAGCGAAAGCGUGGGGAGCGAACAGG
rnacentral:rRNA from 1 species